rnacentral:rRNA from 1 species
AUCCCUACGGGGGGCAGCAGUGGGGAAUAUUGCACAAUGGGGGAAACCCUGAUGCAGCAACGCCGCGUGAGUGAAGAAGUAUUUCGAUAUGUAAAGCUCUAUCAGCGGGAAGAAGAUGACGGUACCUGAGUAAGAAGCCCCGGCUAACUACGUGCCAGCAGCCGCGGUAAUACGUAGGGAGCAAGCGUUAUCCGGAUUUACUGGGUGUAAAGGGCGUGUAGGCGGGCCUGUAAGUCAGAAGUGAAAUCUGGGGGCUUAACCCCCAAACUGCUUUUGAAACUGCGGGUCUUGAGUGAUGGAGAGGG